AUUGAACGCUGGCGGCGUGCCUUACACAUGCAAGUCGAACGGUAACAGGUCUUCGGAUGCUGACGAGUGGCGAACGGGUGAGUAAUACAUCGGAACGUGCCUAGUAGUGGGGGAUAACUACUCGAAAGAGUGGCUAAUACCGCAUGAGAUCUACGGAUGAAAGCAGGGGAUCGCAAGACCUUGUGCUACUAGAGCGGCCGAUGGCAGAUUAGGUUGUUGGUGGGAUAAAAGCUUACCAAGCCGACGAUCUGUAGCUGGUCUGAGAGGACGAUCAGCCACACUGGGACUGAGACACGGCCCAGACUCCUACGGGAGGCAGCAGUGGGGAAUUUUGGACAAUGGGCGCAAGCCUGAUCCAGCAAUGCCGCGUGCAGGAUGAAGGCCUUCGGGUUGUAAACUGCUUUUGUACGGAACGAAAAGCCCCGGGUUAAUACCCUGGGGUCAUGACGGUACCGUAAGAAUAAGCACCGGCUAACUACAUGCCAGCCGCCGCGGUAA
rnacentral:rRNA from 1 species